UCUGUCUCUGUGACAGCUUUCCUCCGUAACGUUUCAACCUACGUUAAUUCCGUCGGUCGGUUUAUUGAUUCUGCGCCAAUUUCCGGUGAGUUUCUGACGCAACCCGUUAAGUAUUUCUAGCCAGCUAAUAAACGCACGAGCCAACACGUGACGUCAAACAACGAAUAUUGUGUGACGCACGAGGUAAAUACUCGAGUGCAGCUCACCAAACAAUUGUUUAGUUCCUUCAGCAUGUGAGGGGACCAUGCCAGACUGAGCACAUCAUCAGAACCUGCCCUUGGACUCUGACCCCUGAGGACCACUGCUACUUCUCCUGCUACACAUCGUCAGGCUGCUGAGACGACAGCCAGUGUAAGGGGUCAGAUGAUGAAGUCCUUCCAUCUUUUGGUCCACCUCUCACACCAGCCUUUGUGUGUCUUCAUCAGAGGGUCUGCCAUGAGACCACCAACAGGUCAAAACAUCUCUGCAGAACAGGCGACUUUGCGCAUGAACACGCGCAUCCUUUGCAUCAUGGAGACGGGCGGCUGUAAGGCGUUGCAGGAGCGGGACACGCAGUCAGAAUACUGAUGAGAUGCGGUGCAGUGUCACACACUGAGACACCGCAUUGAAGAAAAAACGACGUCUCUGCUCCAGUUGGUCGACGGUCAUCCUCCUUCACGUCACUCUGGCCAUACAGAGGUACAGUGCCGCCUUGUAAUGAAAUCAUCUCUGCCUCUUUUAUCUCCAGUGUUUUAUUUUCAAAUGUAUGAAUUCAGGUGACCCUACAAAACUCCCACAGCUGCCAUGACUAUGAAUUAUUAUCACAGUUUUUUUCUAUAUCUGAGAGUGUGAAUCCACAUCAAAUACGAAGCCACUGUGCGUGACAGUUGGAGCCCCAGCCACUACACUGAAUGUAUGAUAUCUGAUUCCAAUACAUUAUUCAAGACUUGGCUCUAUACAUAUUCACCAUUCUGUAGUCAAUCGAGCAGCGAGGCCUGCACAGUUGCAGGGACGUUGCCGU